rnacentral:rRNA from 1 species
CUCCAGUUGAUCGCAUGGUCUUCUGGGAAAGCUUUCGCGGUAUGGGAUGGGGUCGCGUCCUAUCAGCUUGACGGCGGGGUAACGGCCCACCGUGGCUUCGACGGGUAGCCGGCCUGAGAGGGCGACCGGCCACAUUGGGACUGAGAUACGGCCCAGACUCCUACGGGAAGCAGCAGUGGGGAAUAUUGCACAAUGGGCGCAAGCCUGAUGCAGCGACGCCGCGUGAGGGAUGGAGGCCUUCGGGUUGUAAACCUCUUUUAUCGGGGAGCAAGCGAGAGUGAGUUUACCCGUUGAAUAAGCACCGGCUAACUACGUGCCAGCAGCCGCGGUAAUACGUAGGGUGCAAGCGUUAUCCGGAAUUAUUGGGCGUAAAGGGCUCGUAGGCGGUUCGUCGCGUCCGGUGUGAAAGUCCAUCGCUUAACGGUGGAUCCGCGCCGGGUACGGGCG